ACUCCAACCAUGUGAACCAUACCAAACUGUUGCCUCGGNGGGGUCACGCCCCGGGUGNUNCGCANCCCCGGAACCAGGCGCCCGCCGGAGGGACCAACCAAACUCUUUUCUGUAGUCCCCUCGCGGACGUUAUUUCUUACAGCUCUGAGCAAAAAUUCAAAAUGAAUCAAAACUUUCAACAACGGAUCUCUUGGUUCUGGCAUCGAUGAAGAACGCAGCGAAAUGCGAUAAGUAAUGUGAAUUGCAGAAUUCAGUGAAUCAUCGAAUCUUUGAACGCACAUUGCGCCCGCCAGUAUUCUGGCGGGCAUGCCUGUCCGAGCGUCAUUUCAACCCUCGAACCCCUCCGGGGGGUCGGCGUUGGGGAUCGGGAACCCCUAAGACGGGAUCCCGGCCCCGAAAUACAGUGGCGGUCUCGCCGCAGCCUCUCCUGCGCAGUAGUUUGCACAACUCGCACCGGGAGCGCGGCGCGUCCACGUCCGUNAAACACCCAA
rnacentral:rRNA from 1 species